UAUAUCAGUACUUUAUCUUUAUCAGUCCAGACAAGACGACACGUUGGUUUGUUUAUUUAUUUUCUGUAAUUUGAACUGAUUUUGUCGAAAAUAACAAUAACGAUACAUCCGAUACAUUAAUGGCAUCAAUACAUUUCAAUUAGUUUAUGGAGAAAUAAAAUCGGACAUCCUUUUAGUAUGUGGUUGUAUGAUCUAAUGUUGAGAUGUUUCAGAACCGUGUUAUUUAUACUACCAUUCGCUGUACGACGAUUCAUUGUAAAAACAACGUUAAUCUUACCGCUCUCGUUGGCUAGAUUUUUCUUGAACAUUGGGACACGGCCAAUCGGUGAUGAACAUAAAUGGAUUCAAAAAAUUGAACAGAAAACAUGGAAAGGGGUGUGGAUUGUUCCAAACUUGACUUCAUUGGAACAGGCGGAAGAUGUAGCAUCGAACAGUGAUUUAGUUGUCUUUUACGCUCAUGGUGGCGGCUACUGCAACGGAGAUUCAAAGAUGUACAUGGAAACUUUCCAGUUAAUUAUAAACCAUCUGCGAAAUGAACACAAUAUUCGAGCGAGUAUUUUGUCGUUAGAAUACAGCCUCAGUCCCGAACAUGUUUGGCCAAAGGCACGCGAUGAAGCGAUGGAAGCGUAUCAGUACUUGACUGAUACAAUGGGCAUUCCGUCAUCGAAAAUCAUUUUUGCGGGUGACAGUGCAGGAGCAAAUUUAGUUGCAGUUACAUUAUUGACAAUCAAAACCGAAAAACAUCGAUCACAACCAGCUGGAGCGGCACUAUUUUCGCCGUGGGUUGACCUUACAAUAAACCAGGCCAGUUCUGCUUCUAACACGAAUGAUUACUUGAAUUCACGCCAAACAGCAAAGUUUGUGGGAUACUAUGUACCAAACUUUAAAAAUUUGGACGAAGCGUCCAGACUUUCGAUGAUACGAAAUCCACUUAUAUCCCCAUUGUAUGGUGAUUUUAGCCGUACUUGUCCCAUGUUCAUUGCGUAUGGGGAAAAAGAGUUUCUCAGGCCAAGUAUUGAAAAAUUUUUGUUCAACUUGGAGGAGGAUGGAGUGAGUGUGACCAUAUUGAAAGGAACAAACGCCCUGCAUGUGUGGCUGGUUUAUAGUUUGGUGGCUUCAACCAAAGAAGUUUUUGAAAAGGAUUGUAAAAUAUCUAUCGAUUGGAUGGCGUCUAUUGUCGCCACAGCAUCCAAUGUUGCAUCGACUGAUGUUACAUCGAUAGAUGGAAGUGAAUUUAUAAGUUAAGUGCGUUAAAUGACAAUCGCCGCAAUUCUAUCUAUAUAUUGCACGGUAGCCACUGAUAAUACACUAGCCGCAUUUCGAUGCAACAAUACCGUUUACGAUCAAAUAUCUACAUUAAAAACGUAUCAACGCGUAAUUAAUAAUACUUUGCUCCCGGUCAUUUCGUUUCGGGUUACCCAAACCAGAAAGAAUUAGUUCGGGCUGAACCCGAAAUCGAAAGUUUCAGGUUCGGGUCAACUUUCGUUCGAACCUAAAAUCUCAGUCUUAGUUUAGGGUCGGGCUGAAAUCCGGUUUGGGUGAACCUGAAUUGAAACAGAUUGAACCCAAUCCAAGUCUUAUUAUGGCGUAAAAACUACGUAUUCAGUUCAUAAUUACACUAUAGAAAAAUAGAGAAAAGCAUUUUUCAGAUUAAAUUGUAAUCGUUCAUUCGUUAUGAACAUUUUUUCUAAGAUCACCAAGUGUAAUUACUUUUACAAAUUGAUUUAAUUCACUGGUUCUUACUAGCAUUUGAUUAAUGGCACCAAUAUUGACGAAUAAAAGCGACUUUGCUUCGUAAAUGAUUUAAACGUCUUGUUUCUAUAAAUAAAGACAUGCGCGUUUCUUAUAUUCACAUUUAUUAUCAGUAUUUUAUGUUUAUCAGUCCCAACAAGACGACACGUUUGUUUUUUUUUAUACUCAGUUGUACUGAUUUCGUCGAAAAUAACAAUAACUAGAUGCACUAAUUGCAUCAAUACGCUUCGACCUGUUAAUAGAAGACUACUCCAGACAUCAUUAAAAUGUGCUUAUACACUGCAAUAUUGCGAUAUCUCAGAAAUUUGCUACGUCUGUUACCAUUCUCUGUGCGACGAUUCAUUGUAAGAACAACAUUAAGCUCACCGCUCUGGUUGUCCAGACUUAUUUUGAACAUUGGCACAAGGCCAAUCGGUGAUGAAAGUAAAUGGAUUCACAAAAUUGAAAAGAAAACGUGGAAAGGAGUGUGGAUUGCUCCCAACUUGACUUCACUGGAACAGGCCGAAAAUGUGGCCGUGGACAGUGAUUUAGUUGUGUUUUACGCUCAUGGUGGCGGUUACUGUAAAGGAAACUCAAGAAUGUACAUGGAAACUUUCCAGUUAAUUAUAAACCAUCUGCGACUCGAACACAAUAUUCGAGCGAGUAUUUUGUCAUUAGAAUACAGCCUCAGUCCUGAACAUGUUUGGCCAAAGGCACGUGACGAAGCAAUGGAAGCGUAUCAGUACUUGACUGAUACUAUCGGCAUUCCAUCAUCCAAAAUCAUUUUUGCGGGUGACAGUGCAGGAGGGAAUUUGAUGGCAGUCACCUUAUU